rnacentral:rRNA from 1 species
GACGAACGCUGGCGGCGUGCUUAACACAUGCAAGUCGUACGGUAAGGCCCUUUCGGGGGUACACGAGUGGCGAACGGGUGCGUAACACAUGAGUAACCUGCCCACAACUUUGGGAUAACGCUAGGAAACUGGUGCUAAUACUGGAUAUGUGCUCCUGCUGCAUGGUGGGGGUUGGAAAGCUCCGGCGGUUGUGGAUGGACUCGCGGCCUAUCAGCUUGUUGGUGGGGUAGUGGCCUACCAAGGCGGCGACGGGUAGCCGGCCUGAGAGGGUGACCGGCCACAUUGGGACUGAGAUACGGCCCAGACUCCUACGGGAGGCAGCAGUGGGGAAUAUUGCACAAUGGGCGCAAGCCUGAUGCAGCAACGCCGCGGGCGGGAUGACGGCCUUCGGGUUGUAAACCGCUUUCAGCAGGGACGAAGCUUUUUGUGACGGUACCUGCAGAAGAAGCACCGGCUAACUACGUG